UAGGGAAUCUUCGGCAAUGGACGAAAGUCUGACCGAGCAACGCCGCGUGAGUGAAGAAGGUUUUCGGAUCGUAAAACUCUGUUGUUAGAGAAGAACAAGGACGUUAGUAACUGAACGUCCCCUGACGGUAUCUAACCAGAAAGCCACGGCUAACUACGUGCCAGCAGCCGCGGUAAUACGUAGGUGGCAAGCGUUGUCCGGAUUUAUUGGGCGUAAAGUGAGCGCAGGCGGUUUCUUAAGUCUGAUGUGAAAGCCCCCGGCUCAACCGGGGAGGGUCAUUGGAAACUGGGAGACUUGAGUGCAGAAGAGGAGAGUGGAAUUCCAUGUGUAGCGGUGAAAUGCGUAGAGAUCUGGAGGAAUACCGGUGGCGAAGGCGGCCCCCUGGACGAAGACUGACGCUCAGGUGCGAAAGCGUGGGGAGCAAACAGG
rnacentral:rRNA from 1 species